GUCGGAUGUUCCCUAGAGUUCCUCUGAGCACUUCAUUGGAGAUACCAUUGUCUAUGAAAUAGUAUUCUACUGAAGUGUUUGGGGGAACUCCUGGACUCAUUCGAU
rnacentral:pre_miRNA from 1 species